rnacentral:lncRNA from 1 species
CGGGAUAUCACAUACAAAACAUAGUCCAAAAUUAGUUAAAUAACAAUUUAACUUUAACAAAUAUUUCAAACGUUGCAGCGGAAUUUAGUUCGUAAUCCAUAAAUCAGUUUGGCACGUAGGCCCCAUCAAAAUAUCUCAAAUGAGUUAAAUCAACUUCACAAAACAUCAUAAUUGUUCAACGUCAUAAAACAUAAACAUGAUAGUCACGUAAGAGAAUGAAGCAUGCAAAUAACCCCAUCCUGUUACGUAUCAGAGCGACCUAGACGACACAGUGAAGGCAAGGCCACUCACGACGGCAACUGCACACUAAGCACGAUCACCUGCAAGUUACCCAUACGAAGGGCAACAUUUUCAAGCAGAAGGGGUGAGAUUUCAUAACAAAAUAAUGUUAAUCAAAGUAAUUCNNNNNNNNNNNNNNNNNNNNNNNNNNNNNNNNNNNNNNNNNNNNNNNNNNNNNNNNNNNNNNNNNNNNNNNNNNNNNNNNNNNNNNNNNNNNNNNNNNNNAUCUAAAAUAUCAAAACAGCCCUCAACUAAAUAUUUUAUAUUAUUUUCAAAUCUUUAUUUUAUUUAACAAUAAAAUAAAUCCCUUAAUCUUAUCAAAUCUUCCAAAACUCAUAACUUAACACAAUAUCAACCAAACCAUCAAUAUAGUCGUAAAUCAUUCUAAUCAUAUCAAAAUCAUGCAUAUAUUAUAUAAAUAUAAUAUAAUCGCCUAAACUCGAUUAAAUAAGCAAUUAACAAAAGUGGGCGUUACAACUCUCCCCCACUUAAAAGAUUUUCGUCCUCGAAAAUUUACCUCAAGCAAACAACUCUGGAUAAGACUCCAGCAUCCUACUCUCAAGCUCCCACGUCAAGCUUUCACCAGUCGCUCCCGUCCAAACGACUCUCACGAGAGGUAUCUCCUUGCCUCUCAACGUCUUCACUUUACGAUCAUCAAUCCUCACCGGUAAAGUCUCUACCGUAAGGUUGUCUCUAACUUGCACAUCGUCACUCUGGAUUACAUGAGAUGGAUCCGGAACAUACUUCCGAAGUUGCGACACAUGGAAAACGUUGUGCAAAUUCGAAAGAUGAGGUGGUAAACCCACUCGCUAAGCCACCGUUCCAACUCUCUCCAAUAUCUGAUACGGACCAAUGAACUUCGGGGUCAACUUCUUUGACUUCAAAGCACGUCCUACACCAGUCAUAGGAGUGACUCUCAAAAAUACGUGGUCUCCUUCCUGAAACUCAAGAUCUUUUCUACGUUUAUCGUGAUAACUCUUUUGUCGACUCUGCGACGCUUUCAUUUUCUCUUGAAUCAUCUGAACUUUCUCAGUAGUCUGUUGAACAGUCUCCGGUCCUAAGACCACUCUUUCACCUGACUCGAACCAGCACAACGGAGUUCUGCAUCUCCGACCAUAUAAAGCCUCGAAAGGUGCCAUUCCAAUACUAGAAUGAUAACUAUUAUUGUAUGUGAACUCGAUCAACGGAAGAUGACUAUCCCAAGUUCCUCCUUGCUCAAGAACACAAAUCCUCUAGCGACUGAAUUGUCCUCUCCGCCUGACCAUCUGUUUGUGGAUGAUACGCCGAACUCAAUCUCAACUUCGAACCCAAAGCCUCUUGCAAACUUUUCCAAAAUCUAGAAGUAAAUCUUGGACCUCUAUCUGAUACGAUGCUCGAAGGAACACCAUGCAACUUCACAAUCUCCUUGAUAUAAAUCUCUGCCAACUGGGCAACAGGGAAACUAAUAUUAAUCGGUAGAAAAUGAGCCGAUUUCGUCAAUCUAUCAACAAUAACCCAAAUUGCGUCGUUCCCUCUAGGAGUAUUCGGCAAACUCGUCACAAAAUCCAUUGAUAUACUAUCCCAUUUCCAUUCUGGCACAUCUAAAGGUACCAUCAUUCCGGCAGGUUUCUGAUGCUCGACUUUCGACUUCUGACAAACUAGACAGGAAUACACAAACUGUGCCACAUCUCGUUUCAAACCAGACCACCAGAAAAUCUUCUUUAAAUCAUGAUACAUCUUCGUAGCUCCCGGAUGAAUACUCAAGCUACUCCUGUGACUCUCUUCAAGAAUCAUCUUCUUAAUCUCUUCAUUGUCUGGAAUACAAAUUCUUCCUCGGAAUCUCAACACACCUUGAUCAUCGAUUUUAAAAUCAUUGUCUUCAGUCCGAUCUCUUGCAACUAACAAGUCCACAAACUUUACAUCAACUUUCUGCGCUUCCUUGAUACUUUUCAGAAUUUCACUAUCAAUCUUCAGCAUACCCAGUUUCACACUCUAAGGUGACCAUUCGCAAACCAAACUCAUAUCUCUAAACUGUUCAAGUAAUUCGAACUCUCUGACCAUCAUAGCGGACAUAUGCAAUGUCUUCCUACUCAAGGCAUCUGCAACAACAUUAGCUUUACCUGGAUGAUAAUUCAAACCAAAGUCAUAAUCUUUCAGCAAUUCUAGCCAUCUACGCUGCCUCAUAUUCAAUUCCUUCUGAUCGAAAAAAUACUUCAAACUCUUGUGAUCACUAAACACCUCAAAUCUCGAACCAUACAAGUAAUGUCUCCAUAUCUUCAAUACAAAGACUACGGCCGCCAACUCAAGAUCAUGCGUAGGAUAAUUCUUCUCAUGAACUCUCAACUGUCUUGAAGCAUAAGCUACCACUUUACCUUCUUGCAUAAGCACACCUCCUAAACCCAACUUGGACGCAUCACAAUACACCACAAAAGGUUCAUCUGACUUCGGUAAAAUCAGCACUGGAGCAGUCGUCAGACGCUUCUUCAAUUCACCAAAACUGUUCUCACAAUGGACGUCCCACACAAAAGUUUUACCUUUACAAGUCAACUGCGUUAGCGGAAGAGCUAACUUGGAAAACCCUUCAAUAAACCUUCUAUAGUAACCAGCUAAACCCAAGAAGCUUCUAAUCUCUGUAACGGACUUAGGAGUCUCCCAUUGCGAUACCGCUUCAACUUUAGAUGGAUCCACAGCAAUACCAUCAUCAGAAAUAACAUGGCCAAGAAAACUCACUUCUUUCAACCAGAACUCACACUUAGACAAUUUGGCAUAAAGUUUCUUCUCUUUCAACACUUGCAAGACAAUCUUCAGAUGCUCAGCAUGUUCUUCUUCAGUCUUGGAGUAAAUAAAAAUAUCAUCGAUGAAUACAACUACGAACCGAUCCAAAAAUGCAUGGAAGAUGCGAUUCAUAUACUCCAUAAACACUCCAGGUGCAUUGGUAACACCAAAAGGCAUAACUUUAUAUUCAUAGUGACCAUAACGCGUUCUGAAAGCUGUCUUCUGCAUAUCCUCAUCUUUUACUUUAAUCUGGUGAUAACCUGACCUCAAAUCAAUCUUGCUGAAAACACGUGUACCCACUAACUGAUCCAUCAGAUCAUCAAUUCUCGGAAGUGGAUACCUAUUCUUGAUAGUUACCUUGUUCAACUGUCGGUAAUCAAUACAUAGCCUCAUACUACCAUCUUUCUUCUUUACUAGCAAAACCGGCGCUCCCCAAGGUGAAACACUUGGUCUAACAAAUUUCUUCUCAAGCAAGUCUUCCAACUGUUUCUUCAACUCAGAUAAUUCGGAAGCAGACAUACGAUAUGGUUCCAUCGACACCGGCUUCGUUCCAGGAACAAGAUCAAUAGAAAACUCGACUUAUCUCUCUAGAGGCACAUCAGGAAUCUCAUCCGGAAAAACUUCAGGAAAUUCACACACCACCGGUAGCCUAUCAAUCACUGCUUGAUUCUCAAUAGAUAAAGAAGCCAUCAAUGAAAACAUCAAGAUACCAUCGCGUCCCAGUUGCUUCAGCUGCUUAGUAGAUAAAAACUCUGCACCACUUUCCUCUUCGAGGGAAGAGAAAUGCACUGACUUGCUAAAACAAUUAAUAAAAACGUGGUUGUACUCUAACCAGUUCAUACCCAGAAUCACAUCCAUACCACUCAAAGGUAGACAAACUAAAUCCAUUUCAAAAUCACGACCAAACAUAGACAAAGGACAUUUCAAACAUACGAGAGAAGUAGUCACCGAACCCUUAGCUGGAGUUUCGACAACCAUCUCUCCAUUCAUAUCAGACAAAUCAAGACCCAAAGCAGAAACACAAUCGAAAGCAAUAAAGCAAUGCGUAGCACCAGUAUCAAUAAUAGCAACUAAAGGAGUAUUAUUAAUAUAGCAAGUACCUCUGAUCAAACGAUCCUCGUUCUCCGUCUGCGUACCAGUCAAAACAAAGACCCUACCAGUAGUCGGCGCCCUCUUAGGCUGAGUACACUGUGAACUAAUGUGACCCUUUCCAUUGCAGUUAAAACACAUAAUGUCCGUACGCUUGCAUUCAGCUACAAUAUGACCUUUCUUGCCACACCGGACACACUUCUUGAUUUCCUCAGGGCAGACAUUGCUUUUGUGGCCUUUCCCACCACAAUUGAAACACACAAUCUCAGUAGCAUCCUUCUUCUUAGGCCGCCUAUCAUCGACCAUCUUCUGUUUCCCUUUAUCAGCAGGGGCACUGUACGGCUUAGGACGACUCUGCUGUCCCUUGCCCUUCCCCUCGUUCACUAUCUUGUAGUGAGCCUUGGUAUCCUCUUCAUAGAUCCUGCAGCUAUUGACCAAAUCCGGAAAACUCUAAGCUGUUGGUAUCCAAUCGCCCUCUUGAUGUCGGACCUCAAACCAUUCUCGAACUUGAUGCAUCUCGAGAACUCAACAUUCUCAGCAGUAUAAUGCGGGUAAAACUUCGCCAACUCGACAAACUUGGCAGCAUACUCAGUCACAGACAUGUUUCCUUGCUUCAACUCAAGGAAUUCAAUCUCCUUCUUCCCGCGAACAUCUUCCGGAAAGUAUCUUCUCAGGAACUCUCCCCUGAACACAGCCCAGGUCACAACAGCUCCUUCUUGCCCAAGGGUAGGUAGAAGGCCAACCCACCAGUCAUCAGCUUCCUCAGCUAGCUGAUGAGUACCAAACCGUACUUUCUGAUCUUCAGUGCACUGCAUAACACGGAAAAUCCUCUCAAUCUCUUUAAGCCACGUCUGGGCUCCAUCAGGGUCAUAUCUUCCUUUGAAAGUUGGAGGGUUCUUCUUCAUGAAAGUCUCCAACAUCCUAUUCUCAGCAUUCGCACCAGCAUUUGCGUUAGGUUAUUGUCCCACAGCUUGGGCAACAGCUUGUAGUGCAGCAGCUAACGCAGCAUCGUUUCUUCCAGCCAUUCCUGAUAUUCUAUAAAAGUAGCAACAACAACAUAAGAUGGUAAUAUAAAUAUUACUAAGACUCGACACGACUCUUCUAAUUGACCGGACGGACCGACCUGCUCUGAUACCAAUUGUAACACCCCGUUUUCCCAAUAUAAAAAUUUCUAAACAUUUUAUCAGAGUAUUCAGCAUAAACGGGAUAUCACAUACAAAACAUAGUCCAAAAUUAGUUAAAUAACAAUUUAACUUUAACAAAUAUUUCAAACGUUGCAGCGGAAUUUAGUUCGUAAUCCAUAAAUCAGUUUGGCACGUAGGCCCCAUCAAAAUAUCUCAAAUGAGUUAAAUGAACUUCACAAAACAUCAUAAUUGUUCAACGUCAUAAAACAUAAACAUGAUAGUCACGUAAGAGAAUGAAGCAUGCAAAUAACCCCAUCCCGUUACGUAUCAGAGCGACCUAGACGACACAGUGAAGGCAAGGCCACUCACGACGGCAACUGCACACUAAGCACGAUCACCUGCAAGUUACCCAUACGAAGGGCAACAUUUUCAAGCAAAAGGGGUGAGAUUUCAUAAAAAAAUAAUGUUAAUCAAAGUAAUUCGAAUCAUAAUUAACAUUAACAUCAUAAUCAUUCUUAAAUAACUUUGCAUAUUCAAAUGACAAGUAUCACGUAUUCACAUAUUCAAUCGUCAUCAACAACAUAACAUCAUGGACAUGACAAUGUGACAAUGCUCUUAGACUCCUUAUAUGCAUGUGGUACCAAUCGUCAUCAUAAGUAUUAAUAUACUUUAAUCGUGCGGAGGACAAAGCUCCUAUAAAUCGUGCGGAGGACAAAGCUCCUAAUAAUCGUGGUGAGGACUAAGCUCAAUGAAAUGCUAUGCAUGGACUCUUAUGAACAAAUCACCGUAAUCAACAUAUCAACAUGCAUCCAAUAAUUUGGAGCUAAACGUCAUCAUUUCAUCAUAUAAAUACACUAUGCACUUAGUUAAAUAACAGCAGCAGCAUAAACAAGUCACAUAACAGGAUGAUAUCAUUAUAUCAAUAGCACAUCAUUUGUAUCAUAGUUAAACCUUCAUAUCUUACAUAAUUGCACAAUACAUUAACCAUACUCAAUUAAAUUUCAACAUAUCUUAAACAGCCUUACAGACUGCAUUAAACGUCAUCAUUAGGUCUCAUUAUCAUAAGGGGGUUCACUCUUGAUCCAAACGUGCGACACAGAUCGUACAAACACUCAAGACACUCAAAACUUGAAGUGCUCGCGAGGCGAGAGUUCUUACUCGCCAUGGCGAGUACCAAACAAUUCCCAAACUAAAGUUGUUCUGGGUCCAAUCUUGUCCUACAUUCAUCCCUAAUCAUUACUAGGUAUGUUCAGACACUCAAAGGCACUCAAGGUCUAACUAAAAAGGUCGAAACACAAAAUCUAGCAUGCUCUCUGCCUUAGCUCGCUAUGGCGAGUAAGGUUGCUCGCUAUGGCGAGCGAUACCAAAAGAACUCGUGAGGCGAAGGAAAAAGCUCGCGUGGCGAGCGAUGAAGAUCAUCACUCGCGAGGCGAGGUUCAUAGCUCGCCGUGGCGAGCGAUGAAUGUCGCUACGGCCAGGCUUCCUAUUUUCUCAAAAAUCCGACGAUUCUCAGGGUUCUAAGCUUAGUAUUGAUUCCAAAGUUUGUCCUAAACAUUAUCUAAGGUCCAGGAACACUUUCUACACCAAUUUAAUCAAUUCCUACUGUUUAAUCAUCAAUUUUAGGGAUUUGACCUAGUUUUCGUUUUCUCCAAUUCAAUCCUAAUUCUUGCUAACUAAUCAUCAGAAUUACAUUCAAUUAACAAUACAGAGUUAUUAGUCUCACCGUUAC